rnacentral:rRNA from 1 species
GACGUAGGGCGCGAGCGUUUGUCCGGAUUUAUUGGGCGUAAAGAGCUCGUAGGCGGUCUGUUGCGUCGGGAGUGAAAACUCAGGGCUUAACCCUGAGCCUGCUUCCGAUACGGGCAGACUAGAGGUAUGCAGGGGAGAACGGAAUUCCUGGUGUAGCGGUGAAAUGCGUAGAUAUCUGGAGGAACACCGGUGGCGAAGGCGGCAUCCUGGACCAACACUGACGCUGAGGAGCGAAAGCCAGGGGAGCAAACGGG